rnacentral:rRNA from 1 species
GACGAACGCUGGCGGCGUGCCUAAUACAUGCAAGUCGAGCGAGCGGAACCAACAGAUUUACUUCGGUAAUGACGUUGGGAAAGCGAGCGGCGGAUGGGUGAGUAACACGUGGGGAACCUGCCCCUAAGUCUGGGAUACCAUUUGGAAACAGAUGCUAAUACCGCAUAACAAUAAAAGCCGCAUGGCUUUUAUUUGAAAGAUGGCUUUGGCUAUCACUCUGGGAUGGACCUGCGGUGCAUUAGCUAGUUGGUAAGGUAACGGCUUACCAAGGCGAUGAUGCAUAGCCGAGUUGAGAGACUGAUCGGCCACAAUGGAACUGAGACACGGUCCAU